rnacentral:misc_RNA from 1 species
GAAAUGCGAUAAGUAAUGUGAAUUGCAGAAUUCAGUGAAUCAUCGAAUCUUUGAACGCACCUUGCGCUCCUUGGUAUUCCUUGGAGCAUGCCUGUUUGAGUAUCAUGAAAUCUUCAAAGUAAAUCUUUUGUUAACUCAAUUGGUUUCUACUUUGGUAUUGGAGGUCUUUGCAGCUUCACACCUGCUCCUCUUUGUUCAUUAGCUGGAUCUCAGUGUUAUGCUUGGUUCCACUCGGCGUGAUAAGUUAUCUAUCGCUGAGGACACUGUAAAAGUUGGCCAAGGUAAAUGCAGAUGAACCGCUUCUAAUAGUCCAUUGACUUGGACAAUACUUUUAUGAUCUGAUCUCGAAUCAGGUAGGACUACCCGCUGAACUUAAGC